rnacentral:rRNA from 1 species
CUAUAAUGCAAGUCGAGCGGACCGACGGGAGCUUGCUCCCUUAGGUCAGCGGCGGACGGGUGAGUAACACGUGGGUAACCUGCCUGUAAGACUGGGAUAACUCCGGGAAACCGGGGCUAAUACCGGAUGCUUGAUUGAACCGCAUGGUUCAAUCAUAAAAGGUGGCUUUUAGCUACCACUUACAGAUGGACCCGCGGCGCAUUAGCUAGUUGGUGAGGUAACGGCUCACCAAGGCGACGAUGCGUAGCCGACCUGAGAGGGUGAUCGGCCACACUGGGACUGAGACACGGCCCAGACUCCUACGGGAGGCAGCAGUAGGGAAUCUUCCGCAAUGGACGAAAGUCUGACGGAGCAACGCCGCGUGAGUGAUGAAGGUUUUCGGAUCGUAAAACUCUGUUGUUAGGGAAGAACAAGUACCGUUCGAAUAGGGCGGUACCUUGACGGUACCUAACCAGAAAGCCACGGCUAACUACGUGCCAGCAGCCGCGGUAAUACGUAGGUGGCAAGCGUUGUCCGGAAUUAUUGGGCGUAAAGCGCGCGCAGGCGGUUUCUUAAGUCUGAUGUGAAAGCCCCCGGCUCAACCGGGGAGGGUCAUUGGAAACUGGGGAACUUGAGUGCAGAAGAGGAGAGUGGAAUUCCACGUGUAGCGGUGAAAUGCGUAGAGAUGUGGAGGAACACCAGUGGCGAAGGCGACUCUCUGGUCUGUAACUGACGCUGAGGC